UUGCUUUAUUCUUAAUUUAUAUUAUUAAAAUUUAUAAUUGUAAUAUAUGGGUCUCGAUGUAGUCACCUCCUCGUUGGUGAGACCCGGUAAUUGGCAUCGGUUUUCAUUUUAUAUUAUUUGAUUUUAAUUUAUAUUGCAAAAAUUGUAUUAAAAUUAUAUUAGAAAGAUUAGUUUCUGAAAACGGAUGCCAAGCUAAGAACUACACUAACUUUUUUUUCUAUGUUUCAGAUCCUUUUAAUUUAUUUAUUUGUACUAUAUACUAUUUUGCUUUCUCAUAUUCAACUAUAGAAUUAUUGAUUAUUUUGCAAAAAAUUUCGAAUAUUUAUAAUUCAUAUCUUAUUAAAAUCUAUAAUCUAAAUUUUAAUAACGAAGAAUUAUAAUAUAAUUUUUCCAAAUUAAAAAUUCAUAAACAUUUUUAAAUAUUAAGAAAUAUUUUGUAACUUUUAGCAAUAUUUUCUUAACAAAUGCUUAAAAGAAGAAAGAAAAAGAAGGGAAAAUAUCAAAGAAUAUUUUACUUCUUUUUCUACCCCAUCCCUCUCUAUUAAUUCCAUUUUUAUUUUCAGCAAAUUUUUGUAACCGCGCGCAAUGCGGUUAGUAGAGUCAGUGUUUGCUCUCGUGAAAGUUUUCUUCCUUAAUGAAUAACGCGAAAUUAGAGUCAGUGUUUGUUCGCCGAUUAUAAUAUUCGCGAAUAUAUUAAAUUCAGUGCUCCUCUCAAGAGAACAAGGCGACUUCCACUUCCUCCUACACGAUGAUGGCCUUUACGAUGACUUUCCAUAGCAGCAUCAACGUUUCUCGCAUCGAAUGGUGAGUCGCAUGCAUUUAUGUUCCUCCGAUCAUUCAAUCAUGUCGUAGGAUGAAAGGUCCUAAUCGACACGGGUGAUUGGUUGUAUACGUAGAUUUUUGCAACGAGCAUAGUGACCAUGGGUAUUUAUUAUACCCGUGAGUAGUAAUAUUUCUUAUGUUUUAUUUAUUAGCUUAGGCUAGAUCUUCUUGCACAUCGCGUCUUUCAAAUAUUAACAUAAGCAACUUUCUUUAUUUUUCAUUUUGCUUUGUAUAAUAGUUAUAUAUUUUAAAUAUAUAGUUUGAUAAAAUUUUUAAUUCUAUUUCCUUCGUAUAUAAUAAUGUGCAAGAGGAUAUUUCGCGACAGGUAGAUUUCGGAAUCAAAGCAAUAACUUUUGAACAUUACUUUCUUAUUUUCGAAAAUAUGCUUUGAUAAAGGAAUCGCCUGAGGUUAUCAGUUUUUAACUUUAACUUAGAGCCAAUUAUUUUUAACUUUUUCCUGUUUACCUAAUAGAUAUUUAAAUUUUAGUAUUUAAUUAAAUUAAAGAAACAGAGUCAUCAAAUAAAAUUAUAAUGAUAAAUUAAAGAAUAUUAGCCCGUUAGAAAUACACUUAUAAUAAUUCUUUUUAGUUUAGGAUUUUCAGAUUUAACCCCUUCCGUGUCCAUUGCCACGAUCUCACUCACGUGCCCAGGUGUUACUUGGGUGAGAGAGAGGCAAUGGGUACGAUGACCAAUAGUUUAUAAGUUUUUUAUCAGCGAUUGACUGAUGAGCUAGUGAUCGUGCACGACGUAUUUUCCACAUUACGUAUGUGUGGUUAGGCUGUGGAAUUGCGUCGGUUUACGAUUCUCAUUUCACUCACCAUAUCAAUUAUACGAUUAUACAAUCGCAAUAUUUCAUCUUCCAUGAAAUAUUGCAAAUUUUGAAUAACAAUUUCAUCGAUCUCGUUGACCAAAUUUCUCUUUUACAUCGAUGAUUAAAAUUAAAAUUAAAAUUAAAAUUUUUUAACGCGGUUUACGCAAUGAUCACUAGCCAUCGUCGAUCGAUUUCAGGAAAAUGGUACGUAAAGUUAGAGUGUGAAAGUAUUGCCAAGCUCGGGUGUCGGAGGCGUCCCGGGACGCUCUCUCUAGUGUAGGCUUUUUGCACCCGGGUGUAAUGUGUGAGAACCGUGGAGUGAGUGUGUUGGUGUGCCUGUCUUGCCAUUUUUUAAAUAUAGAGUUAGGUAGGAUAGGUAGCAUACUUUCUGGUGCGCCUGUUAAUAAUAAGUAGGUAGGGCCGGGCAGGUUGUCACAGUCUCUGGUCGGGUAGGCGCGUUCUCGCGUGACAACCUGUUUCAGGAAAUCAAAUUUGAAAAAUCGAGAGCGAAGCUGAGACAAGUGGUCAUUUUAGAUCGCUUGUUUCUGGUUUUGCUUAUCGAGUUUUCGAAUUUCGCGGUCGCGGUCGCGGAAAUGAGUCGAAACGAACGUUGCGCUCGAGAUUUUGCGCAUGUGCGGACAAUGACUAUUGGUCGUCCAUGUGCAUUUCAGCUUUCGCGAUUUAGUCUUUUUUUUUUUUUUUUUUUUCUUUUGCGAUCAGGGAAUCUCGAGCCUAGUUGUAAGUUUCAGCGGGCAUCGCGCCCGAAGAAGGAAGACCGAAGAGGCCCGACAAACUGUCACGAAGAGGGCUGCAACGAAUGGCUUCUCAUUUUUUGGUUCUUGUUUGGGUCCAAAGAAUGGGAAGUCAUAUUGUUACUACUUUGUCACUAUGCUCGUUUUAGAGUCUGUAGUAGUAGUUGUAGUAAUAGUAGUUAUAUUUACUGGCCGAUGUGCAUUCCGGCCCAACGUAACAAUCAUCAUGGGCAAAUGGGCAAUCGCGAUUUUUUAAUUAGCGUUGCGAUAAAUAAAUCACGGUUUGAAUUAGAGUUGCGAAUAAAUAACGAUCGCGUUUGCUUUAGUUUUGCGUUUUACGAGACAUCGCGAUUUUUUUAAUAAUUCUAAUGAAAUAUUUAAUUUUUUAAAAGAGAAAACGGUAUCAAAGAUCUUUAUUUCGAGUUUUAAUUAAUACCGAGAUAUUAAUUUUCAAUUUAUCUCUAUUUUUAUUAAAUUCAUUUUAAGAUUUUAGUGUUGUGUUAAAAAAAUUAUCGCGUUUUUGAAAAUAGUGUUGCGUACAUAAAAUUGUCGCGUUUUUCAAAGUAGUUAUUGCGUACAUAAAAUGCCCAUAAUUCUUCCACUAAUAUUGUGGAAGUGAUCCUCUUCUUGGAUCACCAGACGCAGCUAUAACAGCUGCAAGAAUGUGAUCCGAUUUUUUGGAUCAUAAAGUGGGCAAAUGGGCAAUCGCGAUUUUUUUAAUUAGCGUUGCGACAAAUAAAUCACGGUUUGAAUUAGAGUUGCGAAUAAAUAAUGAUCGCGUUUGUUUUAGUGUUGCGUUUUAUGAGACAUCGAUUUUUUUUUUAAUAAUUUUAAUUUUAAUAUUUUUUUUUAAUAUUAAAGAAUUUUAUGUCGAGUUUUUCAUUAUAUAGAUAUUAGUUUUUAAUAUAUUUGAAUUUUUAUUAAAUUCAUUUUAAAAGUUAGUAUUGCGUUAAAAAAUUAUCGCGUUUUUGAAAAUACUGUUGCGUACAUAAAAUGCCCAUAAUUCUUCCACUAAUAUUGUGGAAGUGGUCCUAUUUUUGGAUCACCAUGUGCAGCUAUAAAAACUGCAAGAGGGUGAUUUUUAUAGCCCUUUCUGGCUAUCUUUUCUUUUCAGCAUCCCAAAUUUGAAGCAUUUGUCAAUGAAAAUAUUGCUAAAAAGUUUGCUCUUGUGAAUUUUUUUAAUUCUUUUAGUAUUAAAAUCAUUAUGGUUAUAAUAAGAAUAUUAAUUUAUUUAAUAUUCUUAUUAUAACAUAUUAAUAAAAAUUUAAUUUAAUUUUUUAGAAUAUAUAUACAAUAUUUUUUGAUUCUUUAAUUAAUAAAAUAAAUGUUCGAAAUUGCUAUGCAAAAUAUCAAAAUCAAAUUUAAUUUUCAUUUACCUCUUUUAUGUUUCAGAUUUUUACUGCCUUUUUAUCUUGCGAAUAUUUUUAAUUAUUUUUUUACAGACGUGUCUCGAUGUUUAACCUUCUCCUCGUGGUGAGACUUAUUGUUUUUUCUUACCAAAUUUUUAUUAUUGCCUUUAAGGAUUUUUCAGAAAUUAAUCUGUCUGAAAAAGCAAUAUAAGUUAAGAAUUAAGUAUCAGUAAUCAAGUCUAGACAUAUAUCAAAUUCUUUUUGAUUAUUUUACUCGUCUAGACUGGACUGCAUCAUUUUUUUCCCUCGCAAUGAAAUGGGUAUAUUUUAAAUUUGGAUAUAUAUUAAAAUUAAAUCUUAAUUUUAAGUAUAACGUAAGAUGUUUAAAUUAAGUUUAUUGUAAGCACAUUCCGUACAAAAAUACGCUCCUUAACACAAAAUGAAUUACAAUACGUGCUUUCAAUCUCUUUAUUUCUUCUCUUGUCAAUAGAAUCAAAUCGUUUUUAUUUUUUUUCCUUGGAUCUUUUUUUCUCUUAGUUGUUUUACUCAUUCAUUUUGUUUUUUUGAAUUUCCUUUUUGCAACGAUGGAAAAUACUUGAAUAUCAAUUGAAUAAUUAAUAGUUUUUCUUUAAAUAAGCAGUGUAUCUUUAAUACGGAUGAUACCAAUAGAAUACACGAAUCUUAGAUUUAAUAUUUAAUAUUAAGAUUUAGUAUUAAAAUUUAGAUGUAAACCUCAUCGACUUACACUUUUGUAAAAAUCAAUGUAAACACUUUUAUUAUCUUUAAAUGUAAGUUUUAGAUUUAUUUUUAUAUGAUUAUUUUUAUUUUUAUAUUUUGUUUAUUUCAUAUAUAUUUUGUAUUCUUUUAUUUCAUUCAAUCUUUAUCACUAAUGAACUUUCCAUGUUUUAUAUUUUUAUAAUUUGUUUAAUUUAAUCGUUAAUUUUAAUGUUUUUUUUUAUUUUUUAGGUUUAGGUGGGUCUCGAUGCGUAGUCACCUCCUCGUCGGUGAGACUCGGUAAUUGGCAUCGCUUUCAAAAAUCUUAUAUCACAAAAUUUAUUUCAUUAAAAAGUUUUCGAAAUAUUUCAAAAUAAAAUCUAUAUAUAUCAAAUAUAUUUCAUCAAUGAUAGUGUGUGGAAAGCGAUGGCAAGCUAAGAACUACGCACAUCUGCAGUCCAGUAUAAACUUUGUAUAAUUUAUUUAAUUAUUUUGAUUUUAAUUUUUAAUUAAUUAAACUGGACUGCAGAUAUUAGUUAUAAGUUAAUGUAAUAUAUAUAUUGGAUUAAAUUUAUUGUAAUAAGUGCGUUUCCGUUUAUUACAAUAAGUAUCAAAAUAUACUUCCUAAUUUAAAGCGAAAAAUAAAAAUUUUUAAUUUUCUUAUUCUUUUUUUAUAUUUUUUUUAUAUUCUCGAUUAUUUUAAUCUCAUGUCAUGCAACGGUGGUAGGAGUUGUUGGGCCGAUGCUCUACUUCCGGUGGCCAGUUAAGGGUCCGCGCUCUGAUUAGUAUCUUCGAGUACUCAAUUAGAGUUAGGUCUUGUGGUAGAACGUCGUCUUUGUAAUCCUAUGGUGGUCAGGGAUUUAUGCCUUGCUCCUUCCUGUGUUGUUGGGACAUAAGGCGUUCAACUAUUAGGCCGUUGUCGUAACCCUCGAUUGGUCACUGGUGAGUAUCAUCUGUCCAUCGAUUUUCGUAAAUCCAUUGAUAUAAGUCGUAAUAUGAGAGCGACAAAGAGGGUUGAUUUUUCAUCAAUCACGUAUCUUUAUUCUUCUUUUAAUGUUUCUUUUUAUGUUUUAGUAUAAAUUAAUAAUAUUUUGAAUUUUUAUUUUUUUUGCUUUAAGUUAGACGAGAGUAUUCUUGAUACGAAUAAUUAUUAAUUAUUAAUAAAAAUGUUAUGUAUUAUAAAUUAUAGGUUUAAGAUUUUAAAAUAUAGUUUAAGUUAGUUUUAUAAGCUAUCAUCGUGCGAUUAAUUAGCGAGCGAAUGUAAAAAACUUUUGUAAAAAUCGUUGUAAAGAUCCAUUAUACAUUAAUUCAAAUAAUUAUGUCAUUUCAUUAAUGUAUUUACAAUUAAUAAAUAUUUCUUUUAUAUUUCUUUUAAUAUAUUUAUGUAUAGCUAUUAAUUAAUCUUUUAUAUUUUAUUUGUUAUUUUUCAUAUUUAAUUUAUUUGAAUUAAUCAUUAAUUUUAAUGUUUUUUCUUACUUUUAACCUUAGGUGGGUUUCGAUGCAUAGUUACCCACCUCCUCGUCGAUGUAACCCGCAAUCUGCAGUCCAGUAAACUUUAUAUAAUUCAUUUAAUUAUUUUGAUUUUUAAUUUUUAAUUAAUUAAAUUGGACUGCAGAUAUUAGUUAUAAGUUAAUGUAUUAUAUGUAUUAGAUUAAAUUUAUUGUAAUAAGUGCGUUCCCGUUUAUUGUAAUAAGUAUCAAGAUAUACUCUCUAAUUUAAAGCGAAAAAUAAAAAUUUUUAAUUUUCUUAUUCUUUUUUUAUAUUUUUUUUAUAUUCUCGAUUAUUUUAAUCUCAUAUUAUGCAACGGUGGUAGGAGUUGUUGGGCCGAUGCUCUACUUCCGGUGGCCAGUUAAGGGUCCGCGCUCUGAUUAGUAUCUUCUAAUACUCAAUUAGAGUUAGGUCUUGUGGUAGAACGUCGUCUUUGUAAUCCUAUGGUGGUCAGGGAUUUAUGCCUUGCUCCUUCCUGUGUUGUUGGGACAUAAGGCGUUCAACUAUUAGGCCGUUGUCGUAACCCUCGAUUGGUCACUGGUGAGUAUCAUCCGUCCAGCGACUUUCGUCCACCGAUGUAAGUCGUGACAUGAGGGCGAUAGAGAAGAUUAAUUUUUUAAGUUUUUUCUUCUUUUUCAUCAAUCAUCGGACUUUAGAUGUUUUUUUAAUACUUUUUAUUCUUUUGGAUCGCAUUUGAUACGUUUUUGAACAUUUGUAUUUUAAAUGCUCUUUAUAUUGUAAUUUUGUUUAUUAGUAAUGAUUAAUAUUUUUAAUUUUACUUUCUUCGCUUUAAAUUAGAUGAUAGUAUUUUUGAUACUGAUUCUAUGUUAAUAGAAAUGUUAUAUAUAUUUUGGAUUUAGUAUUAACAUGUUAUUAUUUAGAUAAUUUAAGAUAACUUAAUAUCUCGAUGGACAAUAUGGGACAACAUGGGACAACAUAAGAUGACGAUGGACAACAUAAGAUGACGAUGGACAACGGGGAACGACGUUGGACAAUGUAUGACAACUUGGAAUGACCUUGGAUGACGAUGGACAACAUGAGACUUAAUUUUCAAUUUUAUUAUAUAUUUCUUAUAAUAUAUACAUAUAUAGUACAAAUAGUACAAUAGUACAAAGCGAAAAAUGUAAAAAAUUUCUGCAAUAAUUUUUAUAAAAAUUUAUUGCAUGUUUAUUAAUUUAUGUUAUUAAUCUUUAUUUUGUGUUUCAGAUUUGUUUAAUUUUUAUAUAACAUUUUUUUAAUGUAUUUUGUUUUGUAUUAUUGUAUUUUUUGUAUUAUUUAAUGUAUUUCUUAGCUUUAUUGCAUGUUUAUUAAUUUAUGUUAUUAAUCUUUAUUUUGUGUUUCAGAUUUGUUUAAUUUUUAUAUAACAUUUUUUAAUGUAUUUUGUUUUGUAUUAUUGUAUUUUUUGUAUUAUUUAAUGUAUUUCUUAGCUUUAUUGCAUGUUUAUUAAUUUAUGUUAUUAAUCUUUAUUUUGUGUUUCAGAUUUGUUUAAUUUUUAUAUAACAUUUUUUUAAUGUAUUUUGUUUUGUAUUAUUGUAUUUUUUGUAUUAUUUAAUGUAUUUCUUAGUUUUAGGUCUCGAUGAGUAAUUAUCUCUUCAUCGGUGGUAAUUAACAUCGCUUUCCAAACUUUUUAUUCUUCAAAAAUCUUUCAUUCUUCAAAAAUUCUUCAAAAUUCUUUUCUCAUUUCUAUGGGAAUUGGAAUCCUUUUCUCAAUUUUAUUUUUAUGUUUUAUAAUUCGUUAUUUUCGUCGCUUUUUUGGCGUCACUGUGAAUCAUCACAAAAAAAUUGUAAGAUUUCAUCGGACUGAUGUUCUACUUUCGGUGGUCAGUCGAAGGUCCGCGCUCUGAUCGAUUGAUAUCUUUGUAUAUUUGAUCAGAGAUAGGUCCUGUAUAUUAAAUGUCGUCUUCGGUAAUUCGACUUCAGUGGUUUUAGAAAGAUUUUAGUUCCUUCCUGUAAGUCGUUAGGACUAUGUCUUGGUAAUUCGGCUCAGGUGGUCCUGAAAUGAUUUCUAAUUCCUUCUCGUGGUCGUUGUGGACAUUAUGCAUUUAAUUACUAGGCCGCUGUCGUAACUCUCUGCUGAUCAACAAGGUUAUCAUUUGUUUGAUGAUUCUUAUAAAUCGACUAUUAUAUAAAAUUUAAAUUUUCUUAAUUUCUUUUUUUUCUUAUACAUAUAUAUAAUUUUUUUAUUGUGUCAAUAACUUUUCUUCGUUUAAAGUGGGUAUCUUUAAUAUCAAGUGAUAUCAAUGGGGUGCAUGAAUCUUUGAUUUAGUAUUAUUAUUAGGUGUAAAUUAAGGUAGAUUUAGUAUUAUUAUUAGGAUUAAAUUAAGAUAGAUUUAGUUUCAUCGCUGGACAUUGUGGGAUAAAUUUGUGGGGUAAAAAAUAUAAAAAAAAAUGCUGUAAAGAUCAUUGUCAAGUUCUAUUGUAUAAUAAUUCAAAUAAUUAUUUCCUUUUAUGUAUUCAUAAUUCAUAUUUUUUUUAUAUUUCAGAUUUAUUUAAUUUUUAUAUUUAUUUAUAAUUUAUAUUUAUAUUUAUUAUAUUAUAUUAAUAUUUGUAUUUAUUAUUAUAUUUAUAUAUUUUAUAUUUUUUUUAAUUUGUUAAAGUUAAUAAUUAAUUUUAAUUUUUUUUUUUAGUUUUAGGUGAGUCUCGAUGCAUAGUCACCUCCUCGUUGGUGAGACCUGGUAAUUGAUAUUGAUUUUUGUAUUAAUUGGAUUAAUCUUUGAAAAUUUUCUAAAAAUUAUUCUUUAAAAACGAUACCAAACUAAGAAUUACGGAGUGUCUACAGCUCAAUUUAAAUUAUUAAAUUCUUUUUGGAUAUUUUGGAUAUUUGAUAUUUUGAUAUUUCGUCUAGAUUGAGCUAUAGGUAGUAUUAGGAUUUUUGAUAUUUUGCAAAAUAUCAAAAUCAAAUUUAUAUUUUUAUUUAUUUAUUUUACAUUUAAGAUUUUUAAUUUAUUUUUAUUUCAUAUAAUUGUUUUUAUAUUUAAUUCUUUUCAGAUUCUUUUUUUUCAGGUUCUUUUUUUCAGAUUUAAUUUAUUCUUACAUUAAAUUAUUUUUUACAUUUCAUGCAUAUUUAAUAUGUAAUAUAUAUAAUAUAUGUAAUAUUUGCAGUUCAAUUUAAACAUUCCAUUUAAUUAUCUUGAUCAAUUGUUGAUAUGCAUUGUUGAUAUAGUUGAUAUAUAUUGUUGAUAUGGAUAUAGUAUAAUAUGGACAUAUAGUAUAUAUAGACUGCAAAUACAAAUAAAAUCUGUACCAAGAUAUUAUCGUUUUUUAUUUUAUUCUUCAACAAUGUAAAUACUAAAUUUUUUGAUAUUGUUGAUAUGGAUAUAGUAUAAUGGACAUAUAGUAUAUAUAGACUGCAAGUACAAAUAAAAUCUAUACCAAGAUAUUCUCGUUUUUUAUUUUAUUCUUCAACAAUGUAAAUACUAAGUAAGUAUGAACAUAAAUUUUUUGAAGCAACUAAAAUAUCCCCGAUGCAAUUAAGUUGCAAGUUGUAUUUACUAUACGCAUUUCGUAUCAAAAUAUUCUCCCUAACUUAAAGCGAAAACAAAAUUAUUUUACUUAUUCCCAUAUGAUUUCUUUUUUUGCCAUUCCAUCACAAAUUCCCAUUUAUAUUUAAAGUAUUCGUUUAUUUCUUCUAGAAUAUAUUCCUUUUUAUUUAUUAUUUUAAGAUGUUUGCAAAUUUUUCGUCGCUUUUUCUAAAUCACUGUCAAUCACAAUAUUGCACUGUCAUGCAAUAGUGGCAGGACUUCCAUCGAUUUUCGUAAGUUUAUUGAUGUAAGUCGUAUGGGGGCGACAGAAAAAGUUGAUUUUUUAUCGAUCGUAAGUUCUUCUUCUAAUGCUUAUUAUUUUUCUGGUCUGUAUUUACUUGCUUUUUGACUUCUCUUUUUUUUUUUUUUUAAAUUUUAUUUAUUAUAAAUGAUUUAGUAUAAAUGAUUUUGAAUUUUUCUUUUUUUCGCUUUAAGUUAGACGAGAAUAUUUUUGAUACGAAUAAUAUUAAUAAAAUUGUUAUGUAUUGUAAAUUAUAGGUUUAAGAUUUAGGUUGGACAACGUGGAAUUAAUUAGCGAGCGAAUAUAAAAAACUUUUGUAAAAAUCGUUGUAAAGAUCCAUUGUACAUUAAUUCAAAUAAUUAUGUCAUUUUAUAAUGUAUUUAUAAUUAAUAAAUAUUUCUUUUAUA